ensembl:snRNA LOC120097964 U6 spliceosomal RNA
GCUCACUUUGACAACACGUAUUCUAAUUGGAACAAUAUAAAGAUUAGCAUGGUCCCUGCACCAAGGUUGGCAUAUAAUUCACAAAGGAUUCCAUAUUUUU